CAAUAACAUGGCAGUAGAAUGUCCUAAAUGCUCCACAAGAUGGACUGCGAAGACAUGGAUCGCAGAUUGGUUGGUGGCGUUUGAAACUUGUAGGAGGUUGAUCAUACCAGCUAUGCUGCGCGUUGAAUGGAUGCAUGCCAUGAUUCGAAAUUCUGCUUUUUCCUUUGUUCUUUGUAUGGUUCUGCACUUGUAGUUCACGAAUUGCUUUGUUGCCUUGUAGGUUGCAGCGAGGAUGGGCUCGAUCGCACAUGUCAUCACAAAAAGUGCAAAGAUUGUUGGAGGAAAUGCUUCGUCAACCAAAUCCUGAACAACAAAUUCAAUGUCAUAACUUUGCAUCCUUAAUUUUGUAAGUACGCAGAUAUUGAAUUGAAAAUUUAGAAGAGCAAGUAGUUAACCUUUCUAUUGCAGGCGGUGUUGAGGACAAUCAAAGCUAAAAGACCUUUGGUGUUCAUAAGUACACCAAGGGCCAGCCCUUCCUUAGGUGGGAUCUUGUGGAGCAGUGAGACAAGGAAAGUGA
rnacentral:lncRNA from 1 species